UUUGUGGAAUAUAUGUGUACUUUGUUAAGUAUGAUGUUGAAAUAUUAGAUAGCAUGUUUAUAUAACUGUCAGUUCUUCCACGGCAACAAGAUGAAAUAUAUAAUUGUCUCAGAUAAAUAAUUUUUCCAUCACUCAUCAACAAUUUUGUUGGAAUAAAUUAUUUAUCUACAAUGACUACAACGUUAACUAUAAUUGCAUAUAACUACAAAACUGCACUACAUAUAACUACAAAUUGGAACGACAAUGCUACAAACUACUGUUGCAGUACAAUUGCGCUGUAUGAAUGUUUCGACCAUUCGGAAGCUGUUGUGUUUUCGGCUAAAACUUCUUAUCUUGAACAAUGAAGAUUCAUGAAUUUACGUUG
rnacentral:lncRNA from 1 species